rnacentral:rRNA from 1 species
CCUACGGGAGGCAGCAGUGGGGGAUAUUGCACAAUGGGGGGAACCCUGAUGCAGCGACGCCGCGUGGGUGAAGAAGCGCCUCGGCGCGUACAGCCCUGUCAGCAGGGAAGAAAAUGACGGUACCUGAAGAAGAAGCCCCGGCUGACUACGUGCCAGCAGCCGCGGGAAUACGUAGGGGGCAAGCGUUAUCCGGAUUUACUGGGUGUAAAGGGGGCGCAGACGGCGAUGCAAGCCAGGAGUGAAAGCCCGGGGCCCAACCCCGGGACUGCUCUUGGAACUGCGUGGCUGGAGUGCAGGAGGGGAAGGCGGAAUUCCUGGGGUAGCGGUGAAAGGCGUAGAUAUCAGGAGGAACAGCGGUGGCGAAGGCGGCCUGCUGGACUGCAACUGACGUUGAGGCCCGAAAGCGUGGGGAGCAAACAGGAUUAGAUACCCGAGUAGUC